rnacentral:rRNA from 1 species
UACAGAGGGGGCGAGCGUUAUUCGGAAUUACUGGGCGUAAAGCGUGCGCAGGCGGUUCGGAAAGAAAGAUGUGAAAUCCCAGGGCUCAACCUUGGAACUGCAUUUUUAACUCCCGGACUAGAGUAUGUCAGAGGGGGGUGGAAUUCCACGUGUAGCAGUGAAAUGCGUAGAGAUGUGGAGGAACACCGAUGGCGAAGGCAGCCCCCUGGGAUAAUACUGACGCUCAGGCACGAAAGCGUGGGUAGCAAACAGG